CACAAGAAGAGAUUGAGAAUGCUGAAAAGGCCCUUAAAGUACUCGGAGGAGAGGUUGAGAAAGUAUGCGAAAUUGAUGACAAUAAGGCAUCUUUAGGGCUUCGAUCUGUUGUGGUUAUUAAAAAGACCCAAAGAACUCCUAAAGAAUACCCACGCUCGGUUGGUAUGCCCAACAAAAGACCGCUAUAGAUGUCUAUGAAUUAUAACACUA
rnacentral:rRNA from 1 species